rnacentral:tRNA from 1 species
GUUUAUGUAGCUUAAACCCGCCUAAAGCAAGACACUGAAAAUGCCUAGAUGGGUCCACACACCCCAUAAACA